CAAGCAGACCUGAGAUUCUCGCUGGUGACUGACUCCAGGAGUCCUCUUUCUUGGAGUAUAUCGACUACAUUAGGGCGAGAAACAGCUUGAACUUCUGUCUCAAGAGUUGAGCACUUAACAGGUGCGAACAGAGGAGUUGUAGACGUGGAGAAAAGGUGAUGAAUUUGGUGCCUUCUGAAGAAAGUGGUGGAGGAUUUCUCAGGAAAACUGAGUAAAGAAGCCACACGCAAGGGAGAUAAGAAGGUUUUUGAACAAAUAGGGAUGAGACUCCUUGAAGCAAGCGUCAUUCCUGUUGUAUAUGCCAUAGGUUUAUCAUAUGAUGAUGAUACCUUUCUUGAACAGAGGAGCUGUUACCUACAACUAAACAUUAAAUAGAAACACCAUCAGCUAAAAAAAUGGUGAAUUACCGAUCUCUCUGCUAGUAAAUAGACUAUUUUAUUAGAUAAGGAAACAAAGCUAGCUGCAAAACAAAAACAAUUCUCAGGGAGUCAAUUUGACGAACACCUUAUGGGCAUUAACAAUACAGUCCCACAUUACUCCAUGAAAACACGGAAACACUAUCGUUCAAUCUCCAAAACUGUAAAAAAAUUUAAAAGGAAUCCCAAAAGAUUACACCAAGAACUAUAAAGGAAUCAUCAUUGCAUCUCACACACUAAUGCAUUCCAAGAACAGAGCGAAAGAAACUACUUGAGAGGAACAAACAAAUUAAUAUGUAUACUGCAUAACACACACCUAAAAUGGAUAAAGAAUCAAACUUUGAGAAGCAAAGUGCUUACUGGUUUUGUAGCUCUGGGAAUGGAUUUUGUUUUCUACCUUUGCUUUGCCCCACACACAGACCAAAUGCUUUGAGAAACAUGAUAAACCGAUUAAUCUCCGGUCUAAAUUCAGACAUACUAAACCGGUCUGCUUUUUUUAAUUUAAUUUUGUCGUUCCACUGAGUGAAUAAAAUAUUUAUUUACAUGUUUCUCUGAUGAAAAUAAAAAUUCGAUAUUUUCUCAAAAACAAAAAAAAAACAUGUGGUCGUUACUUGUCUGUUAAACUCGAAAAGAACCAAACUUUUAUCCUCUCUCUCUCUUCUUCAGCUUACAAUGGAGUGGCCAUGGUCAGCCAUCGCUGCUUCUUCUUCUCCUUAUUCUUCUAGAUGCUUCUUUACAUCUCCCAACUCUUGCUUGUCUCUUACUAGACGAGCGAAUUUGAACUCUUCGAUUAAACCUUUGCGACACAUCGGAUUCGACUCGAAGCAUCAUAAUCUGAUCACCAAACGUCGAGUCCAUGGAGACUCCAUCGUCCGGAGAAGCACCACAAGCAGUAAAAACGCAGAGGAGACUGAGUCCUCUGUAGAGUGCGUGGGAAUGGGAUCAGACGUGGAGUGCGUCUACACCGGAGAAGGAGAAGACGAGGAGGAGGAGAAUCGGAGCUCCGGAAUCUUGAGCGGAGGAGACGGAUCGUUGCUCGAAUGGGCGGUUCUGAUCUCGCCAUUCUUUUUCUGGGGAACGGCGAUGGUGGCGAUGAAGGAAGUGUUGCCGAUAACCGGUCCGUUCUUCGUGGCUGCGUUCCGGUUAAUUCCGGCCGGUUUGUUGUUGGUUGCGUUUGCGGUUUACAGAGGGAGGCCUUUGCCUAAGGGGUUCGAUGCUUGGCUCUCUAUUGCUCUCUUUGCUCUUGUGGACGCUACUUGUUUCCAGGUCUGCCUUAGAGUUUAGUUGAUUAAGUAUUGUCUGAACAAUAAUAAUAAUAAUAAUUAUUAUAAUAAUAAUGGUGAUGUUUGAUGGUUCAGGGCUUUCUUGCUCAAGGAUUACAGAGGACUUCUGCUGGUUUAGGAAGUGUAAGGAAGCUCUCUCUCUCUGUCUGCUACCUUUGUACUAAUGUCUGUAAUGACCAAAAGUCUGAGACUUUCUUUUCGUGUAGGUUAUAAUUGAUUCACAGCCACUGACUGUAGCUGUAUUAGCAUCUUUUUUAUUUGGUGAGUCCAUUGGAAUAGUGAGAGCUGGAGGUUUGGUUCUUGGUGUUGCUGGACUUUUGCUUCUUGAGGUAAAUAAGAUUUUUAUCUUUCUUAGCCAAGACUGUUCUUGCAAGUUGAGGAUAAGUCUGAUUUACUAUUACUACAGGUUCCAUCAGUUACCUCAGAUGGUGAUAGCUUUUCUUUGUGGGGAAGUGGAGAGUGGUGGAUGCUUCUUGCAGCUCAGAGUAUGGCUAUUGGCACUGUGAUGGUUCGAUGGGUCUCAAAAUACUCGGAUCCAAUUAUGGCAACCGGCUGGGUAAUGAUGUUUUGUCCUUGUCUCUUAGAGUUAUCCUGACAAGAACUAAACUGAACAUGUCUCAAAUUAUAUCUGCAGCAUAUGGUUCUUGGUGGCCUUCCUCUUCUGGCGAUAUCAGUUAUAAACCAAGACCCGGUUUUUAACGGCAGUCUUCAGGAGCUAUCCACAAAUGAUAUCAUAGCACUUCUCUACACAUCUAUAUUUGGCAGUGCGGUUAGCUACGGUGUUUACUUCUACAGCGCUACUAAAGGUUCUAUUUUGCUGCCUUCUCUUGAUAGUAUAUGGCUGCUUUAUGUUUCAGGUCUUUGAUGCUUUUAUAAUGACUCUCUCUCUCUCUCUCUCUUUGCAGGAAGCUUGACUAAACUCAGCUCACUCACCUUUUUGACACCAAUGUUUGCAUCAAUCUUUGGGUAAGGCCACAUGGUUCUUUCUUAUCAGUCUUUGGAUCGUAUUCUGAUAUGUUUGGUUCUGAAACAGGUAUCUGUACCUUGAUGAGACUUUCUCCUCGCUGCAACUGGUCGGAGCAGCCGUCACUUUGGUCGCGAUAUACUUGGUCAAUUUUCCAGAAGGCAACAACUGAUACACUCAGUUUUCAAAGCUUCUUAUGAAUGUUAAAACAUAAUUACGUUCGAUUACAUUUGUAUAUAUAGUUAAGUGAACAAUCAUUAGUCCAGCAAACACCUUUAAUUAAGGUUUCAUCAUAUUAACAUAAGAAAUGAAGUUGCACAAUUCGAUACAACCGAAAACAUAUGAUCUUAGUUCACAAGAAUUACAAUCAGAGAUCGAUCAUAGUCCCAAGCACAGACCAGUUGUCUGCGUAGUUCCCGGUUAACUUGUCUUUUUCUCCUCCGGUUUAGUUUCCAUCCCAUCCAUAUCAGCAACUAGUCUCUCCUCCGGUUUAGUUUCCAUCCCAGCCAGAUCAUCCAUAUCAGCAACUAGUCUCUCCACAGGCACCUUGCUCACAUCCCAUCGCAUGCCAAUGUCUGAAACCAAACGACUGGCGCAGUACAUCCCAUAUCCCGCCACAGCCAAACUACCAAACCCCGCAACAAACCUGAGUGGUGAAGAGAGCACAACGCUGGCAGCUGCAACAAUCGAAGCGGCUUGACCACUCCUUCCCACGUCAGUGUUCGCCACAAGCAAACCAGUUUUGCAAUAGAUGGCGAAAUCCUCGCAGUUGUUCUUGAAAACAUUGUAAACGCCGAAACCGUUUCGCAAGAGGAAGUUCGCUCGGUGGAUGACUUCUUCCGGAGGAUCCGAAUCUCCUAUUGUGCAUGUGCCGCCUCGAGGCUUGGCGAGAAAGAUAGCGGGAGAGACGCUGUACUCGAAGACGUAGAGAUCACCUCCAGCGAGGAAGCAGUUGAGACAGGAAGAGAUCACACCACCAACCUUGGUUCUAUCACCACAGUUAGGACACGGGGUGUCCCCAUGAUUAUGGGAUGAACUGACAAUGAGGUUGUCCAAGAAAGUCCCGGUUCCAGUCUCUUGACCAUCCCCACGAGUGAAAUGGUUGACUUGUCCUUCACCCACAUAGAUUCCUACAAAUCACACACACAUCACAAAGAAGAAAAGAUCCCAAAACGAUCUUAUUAGUCUAAAGCAACACUUUUAUCUACAAACAUAAUGAGUCCAAGGGGAAGUUAAAUAAGACUGCGCCAAGAACAAUAUAGCAUGAGCAAAACUUCAAACUUGUUCCUCUUAACACACUAGGAUUCACUUCAGGCCUAUUCAUCUAAAUACACACAGCUAAAUGGACUCCAAAUCAUAGCAUCGUUGGAGUCUACAGAAUGAGCCUUGAGCCUUGAGCCUCAUCGAGUCUAAAACAAGUUAGCUAUACCAUUCACAUUCCCUUACAAUGAUCAAAGGAUCACUUUAACAUUCAUAUCAACGAAUCUAAUCAGUUAUUCUACAAUUGAUGCAGCUACAGUUUCAAUUGGAUCAUCUAGCAUGUAGUACAUUGUACGCAUCUGUAACGAGAGAGAGAGAUCGUGAUACCGUGAUGAGCGUAGACAUAGGCCUGACGCCAUGAAUAGAUGUGAUCGCCUGGCUUCACUUCAUCUCUGGCAAUCGCAGGAGAGGAAACGUUAGUCCGUAAGCAGCUUCUUCCGUCUGGAGAAUCUUACGUAUCAGAUCAGUUCCAGCUGUUAUGUUACCCCAUUGAUCACUCCCACCUAUCUGAACAUUGACCCCUUCCUUGUCAAACAAGUGAACAAAGUCAUAGCCUUGCAGUAACUGAUAGCUGAACUCGGUGUAGCUCAUCCCCUGCUCUGAUUCCAAUCUCUUCUUCACACUCUCCUUCGCCAUCAUUACUCCAACCCUCGCAAACCGACCAACCUUUUUCAGAAAGUCCAGCAUGAUCAUAUCUUUCCACCAGUCAUAGUUAUUAAAAAUCACAUAAGAGCUAGCAUCGCCACCAAGAAUCUUGACGAGGAUGUUUUUAAUACCGGCGAUGUUUUUCUCCAAUGUAACGGCGUCAAGCUCAGGUCUUUCUAGGCUUUUACCAGAUGGGUCACCAACCCUUCCAGUGGCGCCACCGAUCAAACCAACGGCUUGAUGUCCACAUCUCUGGAACCAAGAAAGGACAAUGAUACCAAGCAGGUUACCCAAGUGUAAACUCUCAGCCGUUGGAUCAAACCCGCAGUAGACCUUUAGAGGAGCUACGUUGGGAUCAGAACAAGCAGACCUGAGAUUCUCGCUGGUGACUGACUCCAGGAGUCCUCUUUCUUGGAGUAUAUCGACUACAUUAGGGCGAGAAACAGCUUGAACUUCUGUCUCAAGAGUUGAGCACUUAACAGGUGCGAACAGAGGAGUUGUAGACGUGGAGAAAAGGUGAUGAAUUUGGUGCCUUCUGAAGAAAGUGGUGGAGGAUUUCUCAGGAAAACUGAGUAAAGAAGCCACACGCAAGGGAGAUAAGAAGGUUUUUGAACAAAUAGGGAUGAGACUCCUUGAAGCAAGCGUCAUUCCUGUUGUAUA
rnacentral:lncRNA from 1 species